rnacentral:rRNA from 1 species
GAUGAACGCUGGCGGCGUGCCUAAUACAUGCAAGUCGAGCGAGUGGAUUAAGAGCUUGCUCUUAUGGAGUUAGCGGCGGACGGGUGAGUAACACGUGGGCAACCUGCCCAUAAGACUGGGAUAACUCCGGGAAACCGGGGCUAAUACCGGAUAACAUUUUGAACCGCAUGGUUCGAAAUUGAAAGUCGGCUUCGGCUGUCACUUAUGGAUGGACCGGCGUCGCAUUAGCUAGUUGGUGAGGUAACGGCUCACAAAGGCAACGAUGCGUAGCCGACCUGAGAGGGUGAUCGGCCACACUGGGACUGAGACACGGCCCAGACUCCUACGGGAGGCAGCAGUAGGGAAUCUUCCGCAAUGGACGAAAGUCUGACGGAGCAACGCCGCGUGAGUGAUGAAGGCUUUCGGGUCGUAAAACUCUGUUGUUAGGGAAGAACAAGUGCUAGUUGAAUAAGCUGGCACCUUGACGGUACCUAACCAGAAAGCCACGGCUAACUACGUGCCAGCCGCCGCAGUAA